rnacentral:misc_RNA from 1 species
CGCAAAUUGCGCCCUUUGGUAUUCCGAAGGGCAUGCCUGUUUGAGUGUCAUAUAGACCUUCACCCAAAUUUUUAUUAAUUUAACUUUUUGUGGUGCUUUGGACGCUGCCUAGUUCACACCUGGCUCGUCUUAAAUGUCUAAGUGGAAAUGGCGUGAUAAGUCUUCGCUACCCCUCCACUCUAAUACCUUUUUGCUCUUGACCUCAAAUCAGGUAGGACUACCCGCUGAACUUAA